rnacentral:rRNA from 1 species
UGGGGAAUAUUGCACAAUGGGCGAAAGCCUGAUGCAGCAACGCCGCGUGCGGGAAGAAGGCCCUAGGGUUGUAAACCGCUUUCAGCAGGGAAGAAAAUGACGGUACCUGCAGAAGAAGGUGCGGCCAACUACGUGCCAGCAGCCGCGGUGACACGUAGGCACCAAGCGUUGUCCGGAUUUAUUGGGCGUAAAGAGCUCGUAGGCGGUUCAGUAAGUCGGGUGUGAAAACUCUGGGCUCAACCCAGAGACGCCACCCGAUACUGCUGUGACUUGAGUACGGUAGGGGAGUGGGGAAUUCCUGGUGUAGCGGUGAAAUGCGCAGAUAUCAGGAGGAACACCAGUGGCGAAGGCGCCACUCUGGGCCGUAACUGACGCUGAGGCACGAAAGCGUGGGGAGCAAACAGGAUUAGAUACCCCCGUAGUCCCUGAGCGGGCUGGCAAGGCGCAU